rnacentral:lncRNA from 10 species
UGGGGUUCAGAUAUUCUCUGAGACCGGGAACGUCACUGCUCUCCCCGGGAAGCUGCUUUAGGCACAGUGCUCCUGCCUGACUCGGGAAGACUGCUCUCCUGGCCUCCUGGAAGUCAUAUGGGAAACAGGAAUGUGCCUUUGAAGCCCUAAGCUGCCAUAUAUAUGGCUACUGUGAACACGCUGGCUACUGUGCUACAAAGAUCACACGGAGAGAACAGAUACAGAGAAACAGAGAGAGAUUCCUGGGGAACCCUAGCUGCUUCAGUUCCUAGCUUUUGAGGCAUCCCAAACCAGAGGCCAGAUGCGUGAAUGAAUGAGCUCUUGGAUGAUGGCAGCUGCAACCUUUUAGUCUUCUAGCUGAGGCCCCACACACUGUAAAACAGAGAGAAAAAAAAACCCAGUGUCUUGUCUGAAUUUCUGAAACACGAAAUUUAUGAGCAUAAUAAAUGGUUG